GGUGACAGCAAGAAGUUCUUGGAACUUGGUUUAAUGAUUAUCUUGACUUUUAAAGUUUGUUUUCUCUAUUAUGCUUAUGUGAUCUUAUCGCUUAUAUGUGAAUAUAUUACAAGAUUAUUCAAUUUUAAACAUGAUAGCUGAAGGAGAAGGCUUCUGGAAGCAACAAUAUAUUAUAAGAGGUUGUUUCCAACCGUAUUAUCUACUAUUGUGGCAAUAAACACGAGUCAAGAGUUGAAUAAAAAGAAUUCUUUUUAUCAUCAUCAUCACCAUCAUCCUCAAUCACUGUCAUCACCAUACCACAAGGCAGAGCAAGUCCCUACAGAGCAGGCUGCCCUCAGUGAUGAUGAGUUUUGUAUCUCCCAGAACAUCCCACCUCUUAAAUGUCUAGCAUCUUGUAAGUAUCCUUCCCAUUCAUGUUUCUUCAUAGCUUACUGAGUUCUGUCUCUCCUCUUUUAAAUGGCUUUGUUGAGAUAUAAUUGAUAAAUAAAAAACUGCACGUUUGAUGUGUGCAGUUUGAUGUAUUUGGACGUAUGUAUACAUUGGCAAUACUAUCACCACAAUCAAGAUAAUAAAUAUAUCCAUUAUCUCCAAAAGUUUCCGUGUGUCCCCUCAACCACUUCCUUUUUUGUGUGGUAAAAGCACUUAGCAGAAUGAUCUGGGGAGGAGCAGUCCCUGGGAUCACUGUGUUUAUCUGUUGUCUCUGUACCCCACUUUAAAGCAUCUGAAAGUUUUCUCACACAGUAAUGUAAUCAACCCCAUUUUGUGGCUAUGGAAAUUGUCAGGCACAAAGGUUAAGCAAAUUACCCAAGGCCAUGGAGCAGAUGAGUGAGAGACCUGGGAGUGGAUCCAGGACUCAUAACUGCUCAGUUGAUAUAUUGCUUUCCAUUGCUUGACAAGGCUGCAAGCUGUCCUGCUUCUUCCCAACACACUUGACUAAAGUCAGGUAUUUAAAUUUCCAUUUCUAAGCUGAAGUCAGCAGUAUUUCCAUAACUAGGAUGUUGUCACAACAGAAAAAAUGAAUUAUAAGCAAUGAAUAGAGGUGAAAUAUAUUCAUUCAGAGUCAGUGUUAACACAUUCCAUCUUUCUUCACUUCCUUUAACCUCUUAUUUUCUCCAGGCUGCUUACAAACGUAUUCAAUGUGUUAACAAAAAAACGUAGUAAACACAUUGCCAGAAUAUCAGCAUCGGGAACAAAGAAAAAUACUUUCUAUUUGGUGUUAGCAUAACUGUGCAUUUUAACUAGAUGUAUAUCUCUCUGUGGAUAAUUAACAUGCUAUUUGUAAAUAAAGUAAAAUAUUAAAUAUAUGAA